AAAACAAAAACAACAGUUUAAAUGUAUUUUAUCAUAUUCACGUUACUAGGUUUCGUAGUAAAAAGUAAAACGUGAAAACUUUAACUGUUGACAUGAGCGGCGAUUGUUGUUAGACGCUUUUAAGUUUCGAUUUCCUGCCUUGAAGAUAGCGAAUAGCUAGCGCCUUCAAAACAUCUCUGAUGUGUACAGCGGGGGGCGAAGGAGAAAUAAUCAUCCUCAGUGAUGAUGAUGAUGAUGAAGAACAUGAGAUAUCAUGCAGUGAACCCUCGGUUCUCAUUGUGGAGGUGGAGGAGGUGAAGAAGAAUGAUAUUGUGUUACCUCAAAAUGCUCUGGACGAAGACCUGGUCAUUACCUUCUCCCGCCGAGCUGAGGUGCUGCCUCAUGCACGCUACGACUGUCCCAUACAUCCUUUCACGCCUACAGAUCGUGAGGUCAGCGUUCCUGUGGACAGUAACCAGCUCAUUUGUGAACAGUGCUUCUGCUACAUCUGUGACAAGCUGGCCUCAGCAUGUGUAACAUGGUGUCAAAGCGGCAUGUGUCACUGCAACAGCCACAAAAGGAGUGAGUUCUGGAACAACCUGAGAAACAGCACGCUGCUGGGAGGACUGAAGACUUUCAACCUCACGCUGUCUGAAAUGGACGCUCACCUCCGACAUGCAGAGAUGAUGCUGCAGAACUUCAGAAAAGAGCUGUCUGCAGUGUUCUCAACCUUCCUGAAGGGAAGGGCAUUAAAGGAGUAUGGUCUGAACCUACCAAACCAGCAAGGCAUCAUCUAUGAUUACACCCCUGUGUACGAGUGUGUGUCAUUGUUCCUGAACAAAGCAGACAAACUGGACAGCAGAGCUGCUGCCAUCAUGAGACUGGGAGCUGCUGAAGACUUUAUGAGACACUUUCAAGGAUCAGGAAGUUUCAUCUUACAGUCUCCUGUGGCCACGACAAGUGAGGCUAAAAUGGUGUUACUACAGAGGGUUGUAGCAUCAUUGCAGAGACAGAUGGUGAUGGAUGAUUUUACUCCAGAGUUUGCACAGAAACUGCAGGAUUUUUACAGGAGGUUCUAUUUCCCUGCUGAGCUGAAGAGCAUGAGGAACAGCCUGUGUGUUCGUCCCUGGGAUGACGUCCUGCUGGUGUCUGUGCUGAAGGGACAGAAUGUGACGGGUGUCCGCAAAGACAAAGGCAAGAGGGAUAUCCUGAUUGAACAGAUUUCUGUAGUUCUACUGAGAACAGAGCUGCUGCAGCAACAGCACAGGUACAGAGAGUUGUGUCGCUACCUACGAGUCGUCCAGACCAAUGAUUCCAAACUUUUCGAACAGGUUCAAGACCUUAUCCCUUUCUUCUCGUGCAUGUCGGGAGACUUCAUGUCGGCUUUUCACAGUUUGUUACCCUCACUGAACCCCCCCGUCUCCCGCUUCACUCCGUCCCUCUUCCUCGUUUAUUUCCGCAUCUUUGAAACAGCAACAGCACCGAAGCUGAUGGUCAGUGAGCCAGCACAGCUCUGCUGUUCUGAUGCGACAUGGGAGCCAAUCAAAGAUGCUUUUCCACUGAAGCGUGCUGAGCUGGUGAAGUUUGCUCUCAGGGUUCAGAAAUGCUGCUCUGCUGUCUUCUCUGAUUCUCAGUGCUGGACCCGUUUACUCACACUUGUCAACACACCCUGUGGUUCAUUCACCGCUCUGCCGGCACCAAACCCACAGUUUCUUCACAAAGCCAAAGAUGUUGUGAAUUCGAUACUGCAGCACAGGUCAAACAUACAGAUCCCACGAUACUUUCAGGAGGUGUACCCAGAUCAGGCUUUGUUGCUGUUGGUAACAGGGGCUUUAGGUUUGAGGAUCCUCAGUGCUACUCUGAGUCCAGCGCUCCCUGUGCUCAGCACCUUUAAGGAGAAUGGGUGGGCUCUCAGGUGGCUGUGGGACAGUUUGUCCUCCAACGCAGAACGCCUCAACUCCUUCGUACAGGAGGCCACACAGGAGAUGGAAGCCAGUACAGAUGGGGAUAAUUCUUUACCCUUUCUUCACUCCAUCAUACCCAUUCUGUCUUCUUCAGAGAACUGGGAUCAGUGAGUCAUUAAAUUUAUAACUUGCUGCAACGAAAGCACAGCAGCUUUUACAGCCAGGAAAUACCAGCAGUAGAGUUUUUAUUUUUGUUUAUAGUUGACUGUUAAAGGCAGUAAGAGGCUGUGGAUCUGAUCUGUUGCCUUUUUUCCCUAUGUCCUCUCCUGAUGUGGUGGUGAUCAGCACCUACUGCAGUCCAGCAGCUGUUAGACUCUACCCCUCCCAAAUGAUGGCUCCGUCACAGCGUCAGCUCUUGUCGUGAUUGCACAUCGAUACUCCUACCAGACUCGUCAAAGACCUGACUCACUGUGGUCGCCGUGACGUCUCCUCCACACGGGGUUGAGUACUGAGAGUUAUCAACGUCAUACAGACGUCAGAUUAUAUCUGCACUAACCAGGUGUUGUCGUAAUGAUGCAGAGAAUAACAUCCUUGCUGUUAUUCUGCAUUUAAUUUAAAGGCUAUAGACACUAUAUGUGGCUUUUUCCUUUAAUGAAUUGAUCAGUGUUUGUUCAGUGGGCUCGUGGUCUGAACUGGACACAAAUGUAAUUCUGCAUAGUGGGAUUUUCUUUUUUUUUUCUGACUGAACAGUGUUUAUGUUUGUUAUUUUCUGGAACGACUUUAGGAUUUUUCAUUUUUAUCAUAAAUGAAGCAGCUAUGUAACAGUACAUGACUGAAAGCUGACGACUUUUUCCAACUACUUUGGUCAAGUUAUGGAAGAAAAGGAAAUUAAUGUCUUGGUUGCUCUGGAUUCUUGAACUAUUGCUUAAGAUUUUGAGUGUAAAAUGUACAACUUUAUUUUCAGAGUAAAUACACACAUGUUCAAA